rnacentral:piRNA from 1 species
UAACUGCCCUGGACAUGGAUAUCUC